UACCUAAGUACUGACUGAAAUACAAAUGUUACUAGUGUCAAUUUUUGGCAGAUUGAAUUUGGUAUGCCCAAGUUUUACGUGAUUCAUUCUUCUCAAUUCUUCCUGAUUUGGAUUUACCACGCCAGCAUUUUCAUAUCUCAAGAUAAUGUCAGAUGCUAUUCCGACUCUAGGAGCUCUGGAGUGGGAGUUUCUGAAAGACUGUUGUUUGCUUAGUGAUAGCAAUGUUUUACAUUCUUUUUUUUUUUUCUUCUGAUAAGUGAGAAUAGUGGGCUACACUUCAAAUGCAUAAUCUGAUGACAUGCAAAAGCUCCAGGCUAUUUAUGUUCUCUCUCUUUUUGGCUUGAAGUCAUCACCCAAAGGCACAUUUGAUGACUUGAAAUCAGGAUAUAUCACCUGAACUUCCUAUUGAAUUCAAUUAAGCAUGCAGGAAAACGAACCUUCUAUGUCGUUAUUUCUGAUGCCAUUUUGACAAUGUCAAGCAAAUGCAUAUCUUUUUUGUGGGAAAUUCAAUAGACCACAGUAAAGAAAUAUGUUUUUUUGAAUUCAGACUUGUUUUGUUGGAUAAAUUUAUUCUUCAAGAUAUUGGUUGGACCAGAAUUAUUCACAAACCAACCCGUGUAGAUAUGAACAGGUUGGGUUAUGACCCCUUUUCUAUUUAACUCAUUUUUUACUUGUCCAAAUCCAACCAACCAGCCUUUACCACCACUAAUAUUGGGUUUUAUUUUAGUGAUAUUUUUCUCUUUCCUUGUUUCUUUUAUAUAUUUAUUUGUUACAAGUAAUAUUUUUGAAUGAGCAGGUGUAAAGCAGAGAAGGAAGUAAUUCAGGAAAGAUGCAGAAGCUAGGCGAAUUCAAGCUGCCUAACUUCUUUAAUUAUCCACCCUACUUCACUUUGCAGCCUGUGAGGGAAACUAGAGAGAAGCAGAUACAACUAUGGAAAGAGCUCAUAAUUGAUUUCUGUCGAACCCAAAAGAUCUUUGUGAUUGCGCUGGAGGUAGACUUUCCAUUGUUCAGUAAUGCUGCUAUUGAAAUGCAGGAUCUCUGAGUCAUGAAGCUAGGGAGGCAUUUAUCUCGGCUUUGGUUUCUGAUGGUCGUGCAGAAUGGAUGGAUAAAGGUCAUAGAAAAUGCCUAGUCCUAUGGCAUCGUAUUCAAGACUGGGCAGACUUGAUUGUAAACUUUGUGAAGGAGAAUGGGCUGGAAGACAGUGUUAUGACAGUUGAAGAAAUACGUUCUGGGGUGGAGUCCCGUGGAACAGAGCUUCAUGGAAUAGACCGUACAGUUCUUAUGCGAGCUUUGAAGCUGCUUGAACAUAAAGGGAAGCUUGCAAUAUUUAAGGGAACUUCAGCUGAUGAUGAAGGUGUCAAAUUUUCUCUGUAAACCACCUUGGUAGACUAUAUUUAUGUGUACAAUGAUGGAGAAAGUUCGUAUCUACAAGCACGCGUAUGAAUUACUUUAUGGAGUGAAACUGGAGAUAAAAUGGUUUCAUGUUAUGGUACAGAUACCUUACUGGACUAUUUUAAUUCCAGGUAGAAUGAACAUUGAAUUCUUACUUGA